CCAGGAAAUGAGUACUUCAUGGUUUGAUUAAGGAUGCAUCGAGGUUUAAAUAAUGUUCUGACAUACAGGCGCACAGGAAAAUGUUAACUGUUUUGAGAUUCAAACGCGCAGAUGCUCGCGUGGUCCUAUAAUUUAACCAUAGGGCUGGCUGACGAAUGAACAACAUUUAGUUGUUUCAGUAACCAAUAUUUGUCUUUCUUGCCAUUGUCGGUGUUCUCUCAAUGUCUAAAGACAGUUCCUUAUAUCGUUCCGUUCUGUAUCCUGGAUAUUGUUGUAGAAGUUUUGUGCCUGUGGAUGUUUGUAACGGUAGCUACUAAUCGUGACACAAACACUGCUCAAGCUUGUCAUGGACCCACCGCCCAGUCCUCUAGCCCGCGUUCGGCAGGUGUUUUGGGCAGUUCUGAACUAUGUGACAGCAGCUGUGCAACAAUACCUAACACCAGAGCCUGUAACAGGAAAUGGUGAUACGCUCACGGGACAGGAAGCCACAGUCUCUGUGACCACUGAGACACAGAAAUGGACAGAGGAUGACAAACAUGAAAGAGCAAAUAAUGAAGCAAAGAAAAAGAUGAGAGAAGACAGAAAGAAUGUAGCAGAUGCUUGUGACAGUGGGUGUGAACAUGCAACAACUCAGGAACAGUGCAUGAUUUCCAUUGCCACAGAGACCAACAGGAAAACUGAUCAGUAUGUAGUUAAGGACAUAAAGGUUAGAGUGACAGAGAAUGUAAUUGAGAGACGAGAAAUUGUAGGAAAUGAACCAACAACCCAUAUAGAAAAGGAAGCCAAAGAUUCUCAGUUUACUGAUGAGAGAGAGAUGGAAAGAUAUGGCACUAUUUCAAAACAUGUUGUGCAGACUGUACAUAUGUCUGGACCAAGUUAUUUUGAAGAAAGAGGAAGAAGGGGGCAGGGAAACACAAAUGAGGACUAUUAUCAGGACAAGAGUGACGGGGAACAAAAGCCAACACGACGAGAAGAAAAAACAAAGGACAAAGAGAGUGGGAAGCUGUUUAGUGAUGGAGAGGAGCAGACUGAAACCAACAAUAGAGAUAGAGGAAGAGAGGAACAUCGUGCAGGCCUCGUAAAGACAGGUGAAAUGAAGAUCAUUAGAGGAGCAGAAGAGGAAAAUGAAGAUCUGAGAGAACUAAUGGAAGAAGUCGUGCAAAUAAUGGUGGAGGAUGAUGAAAUGGACAUAAAAACAAAGGAUCUAAGAAGCAAGGAAGGAACCAAGCAGAAAAUGCAGCCUAAGGGUGAUGGUGAGGAUAGAGGAAAAGAAUUCAAAUUGCAACUUGUGAGUGGAGCAAUUGGAGUUGGAGAUGAGAAUAUAAAAACUGUGGAGAUAGGAAGACAAGGAGGUGUAAAAGAAGCACAUGCCAUAAAAGAGAAACCAAAGGAAAAAACUGAAAUGGUAACAAGUUUAACUGUCUCUGGAAAAGGAGAAUUGGACAACAAAGAUAUAGGAAGUGACAGAGACAUCAUGAACUCAGGAGGGGGAAAAGACAAAGAAAGAUAUGAAGAAAAAGAAGGCACACGAAAGUUAUUAAUUGAAGAACAGUAUGGAGCAGUUUCAGGGACAGAGGAAGGAAAGAAGGAUGAUGUAGAAGAGUUGGCAUCAGCCGUGGAGAGUGGUGGAACAGAGAUAACACAUGUAGAAAGGGGAGAAGAGAAAACACAUGCAUGUGAUAUAAAAGGAGAUAAGAGCACAGGGUCUCAGAAAGCAGGGCAAAUAGCGAAGGCUUUCAAUACAAGAGGUGAAGAGUCCGGCACAGAGAGGGAAAGGGGAGCGGAAAAUUUAAAAGUUAAAAAAACAAGAACAGAGUUUGAAGGGAUGGAAAGAGAAGGAUCUCAACAGAAAACAGAUGAUGACAUAAAGAAUGAAUCUGAAUGCAAAGGGAGAAAAUUGGAAACAAACUGGGAUGAAGUGGGAACUAUUUUGAUUGAGGUGGCAGAAACAGGGGACGAAGUAAACAAAGCACCAGUACAGGAAGAGAGAAUGGAACUGACAGGUGCACCUACAGGAGGUGAAGAAAGUGAGAAGUAUGAAAGUGAAACAGAAAUUGAUACAGGAGUAAAGACUGAAAACUAUGUAGAUGGAUGGAAAGAUGUACCCACAAAAGAACAGAAAAUGCACAAAUCAGAAAGAGGACAAAAUGGGAAUGGUGCAGUGGGGAGACAAAUAGAGAUGACCAAUGUGGAUGGAGACUUCAAAAAAAAUGAGCUGUGCCAGACAGAGGUCGCAGUGGGAAACAAAGAAAAUGAAAUGGAAAGCAUCGGACUGAGAAACAUAGAGACUGAAAACAGAGAACUCAAGGAAAUAGCAGAAGAAUGUGGGGUGGUUGCAGAAGAAGAAGAAAGCAAAAAUUCAAUGGCCAAAGGACAGGAAGAAGAAACCAAAACAAUGAUAGAAGAAAAGCAAGAGCAUGAAAGACAUCUCAUUAAAGAAAAUAAAGAAGAACCAUUAGUGGGCCAGAGAGACAUAGGACAUCAUUUAGACCCAGCAGUAGAGAUAGAGGCUGGUGCAGUGGAUGAAGAGGGAGAUGAUGAGGGAAAAAAUGAUGCAGAAGAAGAGAGCCUGAUUAUAAAAGAAAAAAUAGAAUGGGAGCAUACAAAAGAAGUUGGAAAGUCUGGAUAUACUGAGGAAAUGGAAGCCAAUAAGUGGGGUAUCGAGGAAAAAGGAGAGGGCAUACCUGUUGGAAGAAAUGACAAAGAAGUGAGACCAGAACCUAUGGUGCCAGUACCUGUAGAAAGAAAUGACAAAGGUGUGCUGAGUGAAGAAUCCCAUUCAGGUGUGGAAAGAGACAUUUUUACAAAGGAAACUGAGACAGAUACUGAUGCAGAUGAGAAAGACGUAGGGAUACUCAGUACAGGUGAAGAUGAGAGAAUCACAGAUAUGGGAAGAAAUGAGAACAACUUCAGAGAUACAAUAGUGGAGAACAAAGAAGAACAAAGAGAAGGUGAAGCGUGCAGUGAGGACAAAGACAUGGAAAGUGUUGAGAUGAGGAAAACUGAGACUGAAGAAAAAGACAUAAACAAAGAAAAAGAUAUAAAAGAUGAUGAAGGGAUAAGUGUGGAGGAACAAAGACAAGAGGGACAGUUUUCUGAAAUAAUGACAGAAGGAAAACAGAGAGACAUGGGAAAUGAUUUUGACUCAACAGGAGAGACAGAGACUGGAGCAGUGGAUGAAGAGGUAGAUGAUGAGGUGGGGAAAGAGGGAGAAGAGUGCAUGAUUUUAAAAGAAGGAACAGGAGGGAAGAAUACAAAAGAAUUUGGAGAGUCUGAAUAUAGUGGGGAAAUAGAAGCUGAUGUGUGGGGUACUGAGGAGAAAAGAGAUGAAAAAGAAGUGAGACCAGAACCUAUGGUGCCAGUACCUGUAGAAAGAAAUGACAAAGGUGUGCUGAGUGAAGAAUCCCAUUCAGGUGUGGAAAGAGACAUUUUUACAAAGGAAACUGAGACAGAUACUGAUGCAGAUGAGAAAGACGUAGGGAUACUCAGUACAGGUGAAGAUGAGAGAAUCACAGAUAUGGGAAGAAAUGAGAACAACUUAAGAGAAAUGAUAGUGGAGAACAAAGAAGAAGAGCAAAGAGAAGGUGAAGUAUGCGGUGAGGACAAAGACAUGGAAAGUGUUGAGAUGAGGAAAACUGAGACUGAAGAGAAAGACAUAAACAAAGAAAAAGAUAUAAAAGAUGAUGAAGGGAUAAGUGUGGAGGAACAAAGACAAGAGGGACAGUUUUCUGAAAUAAUGACAGAAGGAAAACAGAGAGACAUGGGAAAUGAUUUUGACUCAACAGGAGAGACAGAGACUGGAGAAGUGGAUGAAGAGGUAGAUGAUGAGGUGGGGAAAGAGGGAGAAGAAGAGUGCAUGAUUUUAAAAGAAGGAACAGGACGGAAGAAUACAAAAGAAUUUGGAGAGUCUGAAUAUAGUGGGGAAAUAGAAGCUGAUGUGUGGGGUACUGAGGAGAAAAGAGAUGAAAAAGAAGUGAGACCAGAACCUAUGGUGCCAGUACCUGUAGAAAGAAAUGACAAAGGUGUGCUGAGUGAAGAAUCCCAUUCAGGUGUGGAAAGAGACAUUUUUACAAAGGAAACUGAGACAGAUACUGAUGCAGAUGAGAAAGACGUAGGGAUACUCAGUACAGGUGAAGAUGAGAGAAUCACAGAUAUGGGAAGAAAUGAUAGCAACUUAAGAGAAAUGAUAGUGGAGAACAAAGAAGAAGAGCAAAGAGAAGGUGAAGUAUGCGGUGAGGACAAAGACAUGAACAGUGUUGAAGAGAAAGACAUAUACAAAAGUGCAGGAGAGAUAGAGAGGGAAAAAUCAGUAGCUGAAACAGGGAAUAUAGAAACAGUUUGGCAGGAAGUAGAAAUUAGAGAAGAAAUGGAAGACGAAAAGGACAUAAAAGCACCAGUUGAAGAAGUAUGUCACAAAGGAUCUCUGGAACAACUUGUAUUGGAAGAGGGGGAUGAACUUAUAAGAGAAGAGUGGAAAGAAGACAUUCAAAGAGAGAAAAGAGGGGGGAGUAGCAAUGGAGUACAAAUAAAUGUAAUACUUGAUGGAGACAAACAAGAAAGAAAAGAUGAUGAAGAGAUGCGUGUGGAGGCACAGGGACAAUUUUCAGAAUUAAUAACAGAAAGAAAACAGGAAAUCAGGAAAGAUUUAGACCCAACAGUAGAGAUAGAGGGUGGAGCAGUGGAUGAAGAGGAAGAUGCUAAAGAAGAAAAAGAGAAAGAAGAAGAGGGCAUGAUUUUAAAAGAAGAAACAGGGGAGAAGAAAACAAAAGAAUUUGGAGAGUCUGCAUAUAGUGGGGAAAUGGAAGCCAGUGUGUGGGGUACUGAGGAGAAAGGAGAUGAAAUAGAAGGGAGACCAGAUGAGGUGAGAAAGGUUCUCAUAGGCAAUAGAGAAAUCCAUGAUACUUUUGGUAUUGAAGUAGCUGGAGAUAGCGAAAAGGCAGAACUGACGGGACAGGAAGUAGAGUCGAAGGAACCUGAAAGGAACAGUGAGGUAGUGAAAUCCACUGAAAUACAGUGGGAGAAAUUUGAUGACAGAGAAACAGAGGAAAAAACAACAACAAGGCUGGAUAACAAAGAGACUGAGGGACUAAAUGUUGAAGAAGAAAAUGAUGAAAUGAAGAAAACUAUUGAUAACUGGACAGAGCGUCAUACACCUUCGCUGGAUUUUACUGCCCAAAAGUCCCGAAUUGCUCUGAAGAACGCCCACUCUCGCCCACCCAGGAACCCUCGCUCACUACUCAACACCCCAUCCCUGCUUCCCACCCCAUCAGAACUGCAGCAGCCUGAGAAACUUAACGUAGUUCCAAUGGUGGUAAAGCAAGGAGGUCCCGUAAUAUCAGGAUUCAAACUGCCAGGUAUGGGUGGGGGAUUUCCUGCACUGAAGAGGACACACAGAGGAGUAAGGGAGGGAGAAGGAGUCACUGCAGAGUGUGUGUAUCCAAAGAACUCACAGGCCCCUGAUGCCACCAAGACGCUGAAGAGUGACAGAGAAGAGGUGGUUGGAGGCAAAGUAGUGGGAAUGGGAGUUAUUGGAGUGAAAUUGCCUGGUUUUACGGGAGAGUUUCCUGGACUGAGAAAGACGGAAAGAGGAGCGAAAGUGAGAGAGCAGACACCAGAGAAGAAUCCACCCUCUCAAAAUAACAGCACAGAGAGAAGUGACAGGACAGGAACAGACAGCAUCACAGGUGUUAAACAAAUGGGUUUUGGCUCUGGAUUUACUUUACUGAGAAAAACAGAGAGGGGAGUGAGGAUAAGAGAAGGAGAAGAUACACAGCACAGUACACAGAAUUCAGAAGUAGAAGUGAAUAUACCUGGAGUUGAUCAUCAGGAAACACUUCCCAAAGCCAAACCCAAAUGGACACCACCAGGGAAACCUGGGAUUGGAAUAGAUAACCCUUCAAUGAUAUCAGAACUCAAGAACAAGCUGAGGAAGACAGAAUAAGGCUGAAGAGUAAAAUAAUCUGAGGAUGGUUUUUCUUUUAACGUUUCUUACUUGUACGUACACCCCCUGAUACCUGAGAGUGUUUACUAUUUUUUCAGAUCCCUGAAUGAUAAACAGUGUAAAACGGAAGACUUCAAACAAUCAAUUUAGCUUUAGUCCUUUUGAAUGCUACUAUUCCAACUGUCCAUUUUACGUUUGAACCCACAAUGCUUUCUUUUUUCUCAUAACUUUUUUAACAAUUAUUUUUUAAACACUGAAUUUUUGCCUUGUGUUUCUGUACGUCAUUUUUUAAACUGAGACAUAUUUUAUUUCAUGUUUAUUUCAGUCCUUAUUUUAAUUUUAUUUAUGUUGAACCCACAAUGUUUUCUUUUUUCUCAUAAAUUUUAAAAUAUUUUUUAAACACUGAAUUUUUGCCUUGUGUUUCUGUACUUUUUGAGGCAUAUUUUAUUUAAUGUUUAUUUCAAUCCUUAUUUUUAUUUCAACAUAAAUAUGAAUGUAAAAACAUUAGCAUUUAACGUGUUUUUUACAAUAUACCUGUAUGCAUCCUAUCAUUGUCAGACUAACACAGCUAGAUGAAGUAUGGGAGAGCCAACAUAAAUGUAAUGCUUGAUAAAUGUAAUGCAGCCAAUAACUUAAUGUACAGUGUAGCUACCAUAGCCAUUCCAGGUCUGUAUAUGGGCAAUUAAGUCCCCUACCACCUCCCAAAGGAACAGAGAAAUGUGAUUACCUUUGCAGGGAAUAUUUCCAAAAAUUGUUUUUGAGCAAGCUAAGUAAAAAACUGUUCCAGAAGUAAUUUUCGAGUAUAUACCUUUAUUUUUAUUUACAAUUAAUCAAAUCAAACAUCGUUUAAAAAACCUAUCUGUCUUUGAAAAGUUAAUAUGGUUCUUGAAGUGUAUUCCAGCAGGCAUUGGAUGUAACAUGACAAAAAAUAUGUGAUGUCACAUCUGAGUGUAGACACUGCUAGCAUAACUAGUUAGCUAGCUUGUCAAUUAAAUUGUUAAUCUUAAUUUAUAAUGCAUAAUGUCAUGAGAAUCCUCAGACAGUAUGAAGAGGAAUGAAGAGAGUGAACAAACAUCCACGUUUAGCUAACUUUACUAGAUUUAUUAGCUCCUCGCCUCCUGCCCAAAACAAGAACUUGUUUCUUGCUGCAAUAUUAUCACGUGGGUCUGUCCAGUCUUUCAACAGAGGACAUACAACAUAAACAAUAUCAUUAUCUUUA